GACGAACGCUGUCGGCGUGCUUAACACAUGCAAGUCGAACGGAAAGGCCCUGCUUUUGUGGGGCGCUCGAGUGGCGAACGGGUGAGUAACACGUGAGUAACCUGCCCUUGACUUUGGGAUAACUUCAGGAAACUGGGGCUAAUACCGGAUAGGAGCUCCUGCUGCAUGGUGGGGGUUGGAAAGUUUCGGCGGUUGGGGAUGGACUCGCGGCUUAUCAGCUUGUUGGUGGGGUAGUGGCUUACCAAGGCUUUGACGGGUAGCCGGCCUGAGAGGGUGACCGGCCACAUUGGGACUGAGAUACGGCCCAGACUCCUACGGGAGGCAGCAGUGGGGAAUAUUGCACAAUGGGCGGAAGCCUGAUGCAGCAACGCCGCGUGCGGGAUGACGGCCUUCGGGUUGUAAACCGCUUUCGCCUGUGACGAAGCGUGAGUGACGGUAAUGGGUAAAGAAGCACCGGCUAACUACGUGCCAGCAGCCGCGGUGAUACGUAGGGUGCGAGCGUUGUCCGGAUUUAUUGGGCGUAAAGGGCUCGUAGGUGGUUGAUCGCGUCGGAAGUGUAAUCUUGGGGCUUAACCCUGAGCGUGCUUUCGAUACGGGUUGACUUGAGGAAGGUAGGGGAGAAUGGAAUUCCUGGUGGAGCGGUGGAAUGCGCAGAUAUCAGGAGGAACACCAGUGGCGAAGGCGGUUCUCUGGGCCUUUCCUGACGCUGAGGAGCGAAAGCGUGGGGAGCGAACAGGCUUAGAUACCCUGGUAGUCCACGCUGUAAACGGUGGGUACUAGGUGUGGGGUCCAUUCCACGGGUUCCGUGCCGUAGCUAACGCUUUAAGUACCCCGCCUGGGGAGUACGGCCGCAAGGCUAAAACUCAAAGGAAUUGACGGGGCCCCGCACAAGCGGCGGAGCAUGCGGAUUAAUUCGAUGCAACGCGUAGAACCUUACCUGGGUUUGACAUGGAUCGGGAGUGCUCAGAGAUGGGUGUGCCUCUUUUGGGGUCGGUUCACAGGUGGUGCAUGGCUGUCGUCAGCUCGUGUCGUGAGAUGUUGGGUUAAGUCCCGCAACGAGCGCAACCCUUGUUCACUGUUGCCAGCACGUUAUGGUGGGGACUCAGUGGAGACCGCCGGGGUCAACUCGGAGGAAGGUGGGGAUGACGUCAAGUCAUCAUGCCCCUUAUGUCCAGGGCUUCACGCAUGCUACAAUGGCUGGUACAGAGAGUGGCGAGCCUGUGAGGGUGAGCGAAUCUCGGAAAGCCGGUCUCAGUUCGGAUUGGGGUCCGCAACUCGACCUCAUGAAGUCGGAGUCGCUAGUAAUCGCAGAUCAGCAACGCUGCGGUGAAUACGUUCCCGGGGCU
rnacentral:rRNA from 1 species